rnacentral:rRNA from 1 species
UACGAAGGGGGCUAGCGUUGUUCGGAAUUACUGGGCGUAAAGCGUGCGCAGGCGGCUUCUCAAGUCAGGGGUGAAAGCCCAGAGCUCAACUCUGGAAUUGCCUUUGAGACUGAGUGGCUUGAGUACGAGAGAGGUGAGUGGAAUUCCCAGUGUAGAGGUGAAAUUCGUAGAUAUGGGAAGAACACCGGUGGCGAAGGCGGCUCACUGGCUCGUAACUGACGCUCAUGCACGACAGCGUGGGGAUCAAACAGG